rnacentral:rRNA from 1 species
GAGUAAUGUCUGGGAAACUGCCUGAUGGAGGGGGAUAACUACUGGAAACGGUAGCUAAUACCGCAUAACGUCGCAAGACCAAAGAGGGGGACCUUCGGGCCUCUUGCCAUCAGAUGUGCCCAGAUGGGAUUAGCUAGUAGGUGGGGUAACGGCUCACCUAGGCGACGAUCCCUAGCUGGUCUGAGAGGAUGACCAGCCACACUGGAACUGAGACACGGUCCAGACUCCUACGGGAGGCAGCAGUGGGGAAUAUUGCACAAUGGGCGCAAGCCUGAUGCAGCCAUGCCGCGUGUAUGAAGAAGGCCUUCGGGUUGUAAAGUACUUUCAGCGAGGAGGAAGGUGUUGAGGUUAAUAACCACAGCAAUUGACGUUACCCGCAGAAGAAGCACCGGCUAACUCCGUGCCAGCAGCCGCGGUAAUACGGAGGGUGCAAGCGUUAAUCGGAAUUACUGGGCGUAAAGCGCACGCAGGCGGUCUGUCAAGUCGGAUGUGAAAUCCCCGGGCUCAACCUGGGAACUGCAUUCGAAACUGGCAGGCUAGAGUCUUGUAGAGGGGGGUAGAAUUCCAGGUGUAGCGGUGAAAUGCGUAGAGAUCUGGAGGAAUACCGGUGGCGAAGGCGGCCCCCUGGACAAAGACUGACGCUCAGGUGCGA